rnacentral:lncRNA from 10 species
CCAGGCUGGAGUGCAGUGGUGCGAUCUCAGCUCACUGCAACCUUUGCCUCCUGGGUUCAAGUGAUUCUCCUGCAUCAGCCUCCCGAAUAGCUGGGAGUACAGGCACGUGCCACCAUGCCCGGCUAAUUUUUUAUAUUUUUAGUAGAGGCGGGGUUUCACCGUAUAAGCCAGGAUGGUCUCGAUCUCCUGACCUUGUGAUCUGCCCUCUUCAGCCUCCCAAAAUGCUGGGAUUGCAGGUGUGAGCCACCGCGCCUGGCCAUGGUUUGGUUUUUUUUAACUGGGGAGUCUUAUUUGCAGUGAGAAUGGAUGUGGGCGUGUGGGGUCUUCAUACCAGGUGAUGACCUUGCCGUGCCUCUGAGGUCUUCCCUCAAGCCUGCACUUCCUGAUGGAACCCUGUCCCUCACAUGACUCCACUUCAAGGUGAUGUUCAAAGUCACUGUCAACAUUGAAAAAGGAACAGACGUGUCCCUGGAGAUGGUGAUUGUGGACCGCGGGUCUGCUAGUGCUGAGAAUCAAAGGCAGCUGUCUGCCCCUGGCUUUUCCUCUCCGCUGGUUUUCUGAAAGCUGUCUCCACCAUGAGCAGUCAUUGGGACUGACUUCCCCGGAGGGUUGGAUUCCAAAUCCACAAUAUAGCCUGGGCAUCUUCCACACUCAGCCCUCUGCUUCCCCUCCUGCCUUGCAUCAGAAAUAUUCUCUGGUCCAUCCACACCAAGCAAGAACGGUGAGUAGCAUGUUUACUAUGGGCCAGCUAAGCAUUUUACACACAUUUUCUCCUUCAUUCAAACUACCAGGAGUGCCUUCAAACCAGAUGUGAACAUUUUUGCCUUUGAGCUUGAAAGUUCUCCAUGUUCCCUUUCUCAAUCACUCCUUCUCAGCCCUCAAAACCCAGUUCAGGCAGACUGUCUUCUGUUAAGCAGUUAAGAGUAUAAACCCUGAAUCCAGUUGCCUAUCUAGGUUUGCAUCCUCCUCUGCCUCUUGCUUGCUGUGUGUUCUUGAGCAGGUUGCUUCGCUUCUCUGUGC